rnacentral:misc_RNA from 1 species
UUCACCGGCAGGAAUAAUUUCUGGUUUUCAUCUUCAGAAUAUGAAGGUCAUUAGUUAUAACCGCAUCAUUAAUCCCAGUUUUUUGCUCAUAAAUCAUGAAUUGCCUUCCAACAUGUUCCAUCGACCCCGGUUAAUAUCCACUUCAGCUCCAAGUAUUUCAAGUUUCAAUAUGAGGAAAAAUGACUUGAUGAUGAGAUUACCGUGCUGCUUUGCUACGAGAGCUGCUCUUUCAUCUUCAGUGA